AGUGAACGCUGGCGGUAGGCCUAACACAUGCAAGUCGAACGGCAGCACAGUAAGAGCUUGCUCUUACGGGUGGCGAGUGGCGGACGGGUGAGGAAUACAUCGGAAUCUACAUUUUCGUGGGGGAUAACGUAGGGAAACUUACGCUAAUACCGCAUACGACCUACGGGUGAAAGCAGGGGAUCUUCGGACCUUGCGCGAUUGAAUGAGCCGAUGUCGGAUUAGCUAGUUGGCGGGGUAAAGGCCCACCAAGGCGACGAUCCGUAGCUGGUCUGAGAGGAUGAUCAGCCACACUGGAACUGAGACACGGUCCAGACUCCUACGGGAGGCAGCAGUGGGGAAUAUUGGACAAUGGGCGCAAGCCUGAUCCAGUCAUACCGCGUGGGUGAAGAAGGCCUUCGGGUUGUAAAGCCCUUUUGUUGGGAAAGAAAAGCAGCAGGUUAAUACCCCGCUGUUCUGACGGUACCCAAAGAAUAAGCACCGGCUAACUUCGUG
rnacentral:rRNA from 1 species